rnacentral:rRNA from 1 species
UACGGAGGGGGCUAGCGUUGUUCGGAAUUACUGGGCGUAAAGCGCGCGUAGGCGGACCUGCAAGUCGGGGGUGAAAGCCCGAGGCUCAACCUCGGAACUGCCUUCGAUACUGCGGGUCUCGAGUCCGGGAGAGGUGAGUGGAACUGCGAGUGUAGAGGUGAAAUUCGUAGAUAUUCGCAAGAACACCAGUGGCGAAGGCGGCUCACUGGGCCGGUACUGACGCUGAGGUGCGAAAGCGUGGGGAGCAAACAGG